rnacentral:rRNA from 1 species
GACGAACGCUGGCGGCGUGCUUCAUACAUGCAAGUCGAGCGGAAAGGCCCUUCGGGGUACUCGAGCGGCGAACGGGUGAGUAACACGUGAGCAACCUGCCCUUGGCUCUGGGAUAACUCCUCGAAAGAGGUGCUAAUACCGGAUAUGACUUCCUUCGACAUCGUCGGAAGUGGAAAGUUCUUCGGCCAAGGAUGGGCUCGCGGCCUAUCAGCUUGUUGGUGAGGGUAACGGCCCACCAAGGCUUCGACGGGUAGCCGGCCUGAGAGGGCGACCGGCCACACUGGGACUGAGACACGGCCCAGACUCCUACGGGAGGCAGCAGUAGGGAAUAUUGCGCAAUGGGCGAAAGCCUGACGCAGCAACGCCGCGUGAGGGAUGAAGGCCUUAGGGUCGUAAACCUCUUUCGGCAGGGACGAAGCGAAAGUGACGGUACCUGCAAAAGAAGCACCGGCCAACUACGUGCCAGCCGCCGCUGUAAC